GACGAACGCUGGCGGCGUGCUUAACACAUGCAAGUCGAACGGAAAGGCCCUGCUUGUGUGGGGUGCUCGAGUAGCGAACGGGUGAGUAACACGUGAGUAACCUGCCCUUGACUUUGGGAUAACUUCAGGAAACUGGGGCUAAUACCGGAUAGGAGCUCCUGCUGCAUGGUGGGGGUUGGAAAGUUUCGGCGGUUGGGGAUGGACUCGCGGCUUAUCAGCUUGUUGGUGGGGUAGUGGCUUACCAAGGCUUUGACGGGUAGCCGGCCUGAGAGGGUGACCGGCCACAUUGGGACUGAGAUACGGCCCAGACUCCUACGGGAGGCAGCAGUGGGGAAUAUUGCACAAUGGGCGGAAGCCUGAUGCAGCAACGCCGCGUGCGGGAUGACGGCCUUCGGGUUGUAAACCGCUUUCGCCUGUGACGAAGCGUGAGUGACGGUAAUGGGUAAAGAAGCACCGGCUAACUACGUG
rnacentral:rRNA from 1 species